rnacentral:misc_RNA from 1 species
AAGUCGUAACAAGGUUUCCGUAGGUGAACCUGCGGAAGGAUCAUUAACAAAUUGUCCCCACCCAACCACAUUUGUGAACUGUUAUAGCACUCAUGGUGUGCACCGUCCUAGGCGGCGUCCAAGCUUAGAAUGCUUGGACAUUUCUUAGGCGGACCACCAUGCAUAUUUACGCGAAACUUACAACAGAACUGAGACUUCACAUAAAUGAAGACAACUUUUAGCAACGGAUCUCUAGGCUCUC